rnacentral:rRNA from 1 species
UAGGGAAUCUUCCGCAAUGGGCGAAAGCCUGACGGAGCAACGCUGCGUGAGUGAUGAAGGUCUUCGGAUCGUAAAACUCUGUUAUUAGGGAAGAACAAAUGUGUAAGUAACUAUGCACGUCUUGACGGUACCUAAUCAGAAAGCCACGGCUAACUACGUGCCAGCAGCCGCGGUAGUACGUAGGUGGCAAGCGUUAUCCGGAAUUAUUGGGCGUAAAGCGCGCGUAGGCGGUUUUUUAAGUCUGAUGUGAAAGCCCACGGCUCAACCGUGGAGGGUCAUUGGAAACUGGAAAACUUGAGUGCAGAAGAGGAAAGUGGAAUUCCAUGUGUAGCGGUGAAAUGCGCAGAGAUAUGGAGGAACAACAGUGGCGAAGGCGACUUUCUGGUCUGUAACUGACGCUGAUGUGCGAAAGCGUGGGGAUCAAACAGG